rnacentral:rRNA from 1 species
CUAAGAAUCUUGCACAAUGGGCGCAAGCCUGAUGCAGCGACGCCGCGUGGAUGAUGAAGGCCUUCGGGUUGUAAAGUCCGGUAAGCAGGGAAGAAUAAGCGCCGGGUAAUAUUCGGUGUGAUGACGGUACCUGCCUAAAGCCCCGGCUAACUACGUGCCAGCAGCCGCGGUAAUACGUAUGGGGCGAGCGUUGUUCGGAAUUAUUGGGCGUAAAGGGCGUCUAGGCGGGGAUUUAAGUUAGGUGUGAAAGCUAUGGGCUCAACCCAUAAAUUGCACCUAAAACUGGAUCUCUUGAGUUCGGGAGAGGAGAGCGGAAUUCCAGGUGUAGCGGUGAAAUGCGUAGAUAUCUGGAAGAACACCAGUGGCGAAGGCGGCUCUCUGGCCUAGGACUGACGCUGAAGCGCGAAAGCGUGGGGAGCGAACA